AUUGAACGCUGGCGGCGUGCCUAACACAUGCAAGUCGAGCGGUAACAGGUGUAGCAAUACAUGCUGACGAGCGGCGGACGGGUGAGUAACGCUUGGGAAUCUGCCUGUUAGUGGGGGACAACCCGGGGAAACUCGGGCUAGUACCGCAUACGCACUACGGUGGAAAGCCGGGGACCGCAAGGCCUGGCGCUAACAGAUGAGCCCAAGUCGGAUUAGCUAGUUGGUAGGGUAACGGCCACCAAGGCGACGAUCCGUAACUGGUCUGAGAGGACGACCAGUCACACCGGAACUGAGACACGGUCCGGACUCCUACGGGAGGCAGCAGUGGGGAAUAUUGGACAAUGGCGAAAGCCUGAUCCAGCGACGCCGCGUGGGUGAAGAAGGCCUGCGGGUUGUAAAGCCCUUUCGGUGGGGAAGAAAAGCCUCGAGUUAACACCUCGGGGUCUUGACGUAACCCAUUAAAGAAGCACCGGCUAACUCUGUGCCAGCAGCCGCAGUAAG
rnacentral:rRNA from 1 species